rnacentral:lncRNA from 1 species
GAAGACGACACCUACGAGCGGCCAUUUUGUCCCCCGCUCGGCGUCAGGGACCACCACAAAGGCUGAGGCUGACCAUGGCGACGCUGCUCCUGAUCUGGACCUCACUGCUGAUCGGACGCUCUCUCCAAGACUCUCUGCGUCUGAGCCCGGACCAGUCGCAGUUUUCCCAGGGUUCUUCGCUGAAUUUAAGAUGUGACGAUGGGGGUUCAGUGUGUGGAGGCAGAGCCGGGGCAGCAGAGGGCGCUGUGACAAGGACUGGGGCAUUCUCUCGGCCCAUAUUGCAGAGUGCAACAUUUGCAGUUGAAGGACAGCGGGCAGUACUGGUGCGAGUCACCAGAGGGCGCCACCUCUGAGCCCGCCACCUCUGAGCCCAUCAACAUCACGGUCGUAGACAGGGGCGUGGUGCUGCAGGCUCCUGUUGGUCCCGUGACUCCUGGAAAGUCGGUCUCUCUCACCUGUCGACAUCUCACUGACUCCGCCCUCUCAGCUCGUUUCUAUAGAGACGGGAACUUCCUGUCAGAGCAGCCCAAACGUGUCCUCACCAUCCAGCAGGUGGCGCCGUCUGAUGAAGGCCAGUACCGGUGUGAGAUCAAAGGGGUGCGCUCUGUGGCCGCUGGACUCCGUGUCCUCCCAGUGAAAACCACGCCCUCCACGACUCCUGCACCGACCACUGCGACCACAGCGUCCCGUCCUGGCUCCAACGCCGCCCCUCACUCCCCCACCUCGUGGUCCCGGUCGUGGCCUCCGUCGUGGGGCUGGUGCUGCUCCUCCUCCUGGUCCUCGUGGUUCUCCUCGUCAGACGCUGCAGGCGCAAGAAAACCAAAGGUUCCAGAGGGACGAGACGCCGAAGAAAGAGGCCGAGGACCGAGGCGAACAGCGGGAACCAACGCGGGCCCAAAACAUGUCCAAACUGUCAGAACUCUGGCGCGCCGCUCCAGCCGUUCUCCCGGUGAGGACACUCCACUAUGGGCCUGAGGCGGACUUCAGAAAGGAUUCGCUCAAUGGAAAUGUCUGCACGUCGACAGAAUGAACUUGUUUUUUUUUCUUAAGCAAAUGUAAAUAGUCAAUCUGUUAUUUUUUUUCAAUAUUAUUUUAUAUUCUACCUUUUGGUCUGUGAAAUGUUUGACACCGAACACUUUAUAAACAUCUUAAAG